rnacentral:rRNA from 1 species
GACGAACGCUGGCGGCGUGCUUAACACAUGCAAGUCGAACGGAAAGGCCCUGCUUUUGUGGGGUGCUCGAGUGGCGAACGGGUGAGUAACACGUGAGUAACCUGCCCUUGACUUUGGGAUAACUUCAGGAAACUGGGGCUAAUACCGGAUAGGAGCUCCUGCUGCAUGGUGGGGGUUGGAAAGUUUCGGCGGUUGGGGAUGGACUCGCGGCUUAUCAGCUUGUUGGUGGGGUAGUGGCUUACCAAGGCUUUGACGGGUAGCCGGCCUGGGAGGGUGACCGGCCACAUGGGGACUGGGAUACGGCCCAGACUCCUACGGGAGGCAGCGGUGGGGAAUAUUGCACAAUGGGCGGAGGCCUGAUGCAGCAACGCCGCGUGCGGGAUGACGGCCUUCGGGUUGUAAACCGCUUUCGCCUGUGACGAAGCGUGAGUGACGGUAAUGGGUAAAGAAGCACCGGCUAACUACGUG